UCCCAAAAACUGGACACUGCCCCUUCCAGUCGAAACACUGACUAAUCAAGCUCAUACUUCUUCAUUCACAAGGAGAUAAAAGGAAAUAAACUAGCCAACCUAUGACAACUACCAUGUCCCAUCACCACAUACUAAAACCUAAUAUACUUUUCAUUCAUAAAACCAAAUGGAAAAUAUUAAAUUGCAACCGUGCCAGGCCGUGAUGAUGCACCCUCUUCUAAUCACAUUUUCCAUCAAGUUCUUAAAAGCAAAAUAAUGAGUAGCUGCAGUCACCGUGAUUAGUGGAAACAACAUUCAUUCAUCAAUUGAAAUAAAAAAAAAUGUUUUCUCAUCAUUUGAAACCAGCGUCAUUCAAGGAAGAAUAAAAAAAAUUGCUUUCAUCAUUCAACCCAUGGUAACAACACACGUUCCUCU
rnacentral:lncRNA from 1 species